UCAGCACAGAGCCCGACGUGGGGCUCGAACCCACGAGCCGUGAGAAUAUGACCUGAGCUGAAGUCGGAUGCUUAACGGACUGAGCCACCUAGGUGUCCUUCUAGAAACUGUAGGAGCAAGUAGCAUCCGGGAGGCCGCCUUCCUGGGCAGGGGUGGGGCCUCUGGAUGUUCAAGCUGUUGAGGAAAGGACUUCAGGAAACUACAGGGGUCUCCACUGGUUUCCUGAACAACCCAGGGGGACAACAGCACACUGAAACUAGCACUUUCCCAAGGACAUAGCGAAAUGCAGAGCGCUCUGAAGAACUGGGAACUGGGACUCAAAAUCCAUCAUAACCUCAGACGGAGGCGUGGCUGGUGUCCGGGGUUCCUGUUCCAGGUCUAUCUCCCGACUCCUUGCUUCUGAAAGGAGCGAGAACUCAUUGGCGAUGCAAACUGACCUCACUACUUUUCUUUCUUCCUUUUUUAAAAAGGAACUGAGAGUUGAAGACAGUUUAAUUGUUCCACAGAUGCUUCUGAAUUGACCAGAAACUGUGUGUGUUGGGGCGUCUGCUAACCGUAGGCAUCCGUAGUGUGUCAGGUGGCAGUCUGGAUGGUCCAAUCUCAUCAUCUCCAGUCCAUCACCAUCCAAGAACCACAGAGGGGCAGGUCCAGUGUCUACCUCGAGCUUGGACUCAACAUCCCGGGGGACACCCCGCUGGUCACAGAGACCACCCAGAACCCAACUGCUAAACGGUCUGUCAGAUAAUGAAAAGGACAGAAACUCCUUUGAACUUUGAAGCUGGACUUAAAACAAAGGGUGAAACAG